CCGUCACAACGGCUUCCUGGCGUGGCGGGACAACCCCAAUGGAGCA
rnacentral:ncRNA from 1 species